rnacentral:misc_RNA from 1 species
GAUGAAGAACGCAGUGAAAUGCGAUAAGUAAUGUGAAUUGCAGAAUUCAGUGAAUCAUCGAAUCUUUGAACGCACAUUGCGCCCGCUAGUAUUCUGGCGGGCAUGCCUGUCCGAGCGUCAUUUCAACCCUCAAGCCCCCGGGCUUGGUGUUGGGGAUCGGCGAGCCUCCGCGCCCGCCGUCCCCUAAAUCUAGUGGCGGUCUCGCUGUAGCUUCCUCUGCGUAGUAGCACACCUCGCACUGGGAAACAGCGCGGCCACGCCGUUAAACCCCCAACUUCUGAACGUUUGACCUCGGAUCAGGUAGGAAUACCCGCUGAACUUAAGCAUAUCAAUAAGCGGAGG